rnacentral:rRNA from 1 species
GUGGGGAAUAUUGGACAAUGGGGGGAACCCUGAUCCAGCCAUGCCGCGUGUGUGAAGAAGGCCUUUUGGUUGUAAAGCACUUUAAGCGAGGAGGAGGCUACCGAGAUUAAUACUCUUGGAUAGUGGACGUUACUCGCAGAAUAAGCACCGGCUAACUCUGUGCCAGCAGCCGCGGUAAUACAGAGGGUGCAAGCGUUAAUCGGAUUUACUGGGCGUAAAGCGCGCGUAGGUGGCCAAUUAAGUCAAAUGUGAAAUCCCCGAGCUUAACUUGGGAAUUGCAGUCGGUACUGGUGGGCUAGAGUAUGGGGGAGGAUGGUAGAAUUCCAGGUGUAGCGGUGAAAUGCGUAGAGAUCUGGAGGAAUACCGAUGGCGAAGGCAGCCAUCUGGCCUAAUACUGACACUGAGGUGCGAAAGCAUGGGGAGCAAACAGGAUUAGAAACCCCUGUAGUCC